CAAUAGCGUAUAUUUAAGUUGUUGCAGUUAAAACGCUCGUAGUUGGAUUUCUGCUGAUCGCUGUCGGUCUGCCGUCAGGUGUGUACUGGCAGUGUUUGGCAUCUAUUCGAGAUUGGGUGUCCACUUGAUUGUGUGCACUCGAUGUCGGAGCUAAUACUUUGAGAAAAUUAGAGUGUUCCACGCAGGCGCGUGCCUUGAAUACUGCAGCAUGGGAUAUUGGAAGGCCGAUUGAGCUUUCUUGUUGGUUCUCGGUUUGAUCGGAAUGAUUAAUAGGGAUAGUUGGGGGCAUUCGUAUUCAACUGUCAGAGGUGAAAUUCUUGGAUUUGUUGAAGACGGACUACUGCGAAAGCAUCUGCCAUGGAUGUUCUCAUUGA
rnacentral:rRNA from 1 species